CCAGCCCCUGUAAUCUGAGCAACAGUUUCCAAAGACCUUCUCUGCAGCCGGAGCCUGACGGGUAUCCAGGGUAACCGGGAGGGGGCGGAGCUUCGGGUUAGGCCCCCGCGAGGUUCUCGCCGCAGCCAAUAACGAACCGUGUAUUCCCAGCCCAUUGUUGUUUACUGCUGACCCCGCAGCGCUCCGCUAGGAGAUUGGCCGUUUGGGGAAGGGGGCGGAGCCUCUCCCGCCCUGCAGCCACCUUUCGGCUCCAUUCACAAAAUUCCGGCUUUCUUGAUCACGUGGUUGGGGGCGUGGAGGGGCAGGGGAAAUGACACAACAAAGGCCCAAGUUUCCCAAACCACAAAACUUUUUUCUGCCUCGCUACCUCCUCUAUGUCCCGUCCCUAAACAAAUACUAGAAGACGAGGAAAAGGAGCCUUGGGUCUGGGAGCAACAACCAGAGGGAGAGAAAAAAGUUCGAAAUGAAAGGAAGGCUCACAGGGGGAUAAUUGUAGGGUGCACUGCAUACGAGAAAAGCUGCGAAAGAGGAAAGGAAGAGAAUUCAGGAGAGUGGGAGAAAGCCUUAAGGACAGACUAGUAACUUUUGCUUGCUGUUUUAGGUCACUGAUUUUACAAGUGCGAACAGUUCGAUUGUAGAUGGAGUUCAGUUUUCUCACUUAAUACUCUGUAAUUUUCAUUUCUACUUUGGAUUGAUCCCAGUUUCUUGUUAACAUUUUAAAGCUUCUUUCAGGAAUAUUGCAGGUUUUCGCUGGCUGACAGUUUUAGUUUCCAUUUCCCAAGUCAUCACACUUUCACAGGCCCCCAAAAGCACCCCCCUGUCCCCACUAGCCCUGGACUGGCAAACCGAAAGGGCACGCUAAGCCUCCAAUUUUACUACGUAUUGCGGGGGCUCCAUAUUUCGGUUUUGGAGUCUUUAAACGAACUCAACUUUUAACUAUUUGAUCUUAACAGUAAUUGAUGUUAUGUGAAUAAGCGGACAGUCUUGCUACACCUCAGUUUUGUUGAAAUAGCAUAAAAUUUUGAGAUAAAUAUGUCCCCCUAGCAAGUGAGCUAUUGAACCAGACUCCAUUCUCUCUUCUGUCCUUUCUGUGCCGUGAUGCUUCGUGAGACACAAGCUUUUAGUCUGGCUGCUGUUUAUCUUCUAUGCUUGGCACUGGGAAAAACCAAUAGACCUAGUGGCGGGAGACAUCGCAAGGGCUGAAAAUUCGUCGUUCAGAAAAUGUUACCCUUGUGGAAAAUGUCUACAGAGGCAGCUGAUGCAUCCCCAGGGAGGAACAUCAAAAGUUGCACAAAGUUUCCACUACCUUUGAAAGUGAUACCACUGAAAACCGGAGAAGUUAAGCAAUUUAAUCAAGUUCACAGAGUUAAGUUCCUGAACUCAUGAGCAAGAAAUGUCAGAUGAUCUUUCAUGUCGUUAAAUUGAAUUGAAUCUGAUCCCAAGCCUCUUCUUGCCAGCUGAUUUGCCUUCUUCCUCUUUUUGACUCUGGUAGGCUGGCUGAAAACGUGCGGAACCGAAAGUGAAGAGGGUAGAAGAGGAGCCACUUGUAAGGAAUAUGGUAGCAGCCUGAGUCUGGAGAGCAUGGAAGCCUUCUUCAGUUUCACUAUAAUCCACUCCUUGUCUGGUCCCCAAUAUUAUAGCAAGCCUGCCCCAACAUCUCAUCAUAAUCUCAAAGGCCUACCUGUAGCGUUUCUCAUUAUAUGGUCCAGACUAUCUCAUCGAGAUCACUUGGAUGUGUAAAAAUGCAGAUUCUUUGACACUAUUCUAAAUCUACCAAAUCAUGUUUGGCACAUUAUGGUUAGAGAAUCUUCAGUCUCUCACCAGCAUCCCAUGUGGUUUGUACUUACAGGAGAGACCAAGAGUGACUGCUAGAGGCAAUUGGCUCAUAGACUAUAUGGUUUGUCGACGCUGAUCUAAAGCAUGGUGAUUGCAGAAAGAAGGACCAAGAUGAUGGUACGCUGUGGCAUUUCAGUUCGGGAAUAUUUCAAUUCCGUAAUGAAAUCACCAUUAAAGUCUGAGAGGUCUAGCUUCUUGAAGUGGUAUCUAUAGAUUUACUGAGUUGGCAUUCCUUUUUAAAAAUAAAACUUAUUUUAACCUUGCUUAGAUUUCUUUUUUCUUAAGUUAUCUUAAUGUUAUCAUUGGCAUCUUUUUUCUUUUUAGGAGAGAAAACUGAAGAAUUAGACAAUAUAUAGGGUUUAAAUACCACUUUAUAUGCUUUCUUAAAUGCAAAUAUUUCCAAACCUUUGACCCUCACACCCAUUUGUCUCAUUGCUCAUCUAUGCCUCUUGAAAACCCCGAUGAAAUGCCAGUAAAAGAAUUUAAAAAGCUGCAAACCCACAAGAUUGUAGAGAACUGGAGGAGACAAAUUGGUGGGCAGAAUUCUAAACAUGUGUUUGGAAGAUGGGAAGCAAAGCAGGCGUGGGGACUCCCUUGGAUUAGCGGGGGAGGCUAAGUGGAAAGUGCCUGUGGAGGAGGGCAGCAUGAGAAAUGAGCCAAUCCUGACCUCCAGUUGCAACCUUUUGGGGAGACUCGGCACUUGAAGGCACCAGUUAGCAAGGAAG
ensembl:lncRNA